ensembl:lncRNA
GGGGAGAUCAUUAAUACAAAGCAUUGGAGUCGGUUUUGGAUUUUCACUUGUUGUUGGCUUUAAUAUGAACAGUCACAUAAAAUUCAUUCCAAUUUUUUGCCUUUGCUUCAAUUAGGAUGUUUCUUUAAAUCUACAACACCUUCCUUUUCGAAAAGUUUACUGACAUAGUAAAGAAGUAGCUAGGGAACUCAGUGAGUAUGAGCAACAAUAGCUUAAGGACACUAUGUCCAAUAAAGAGGAAUUCAUCAUCUGCAGUUCGUGAAAAAGCGCAAUAUUAAAAACAAUUCAGCAGACCCUCAGAGUGCGGAUACAUACUGUUUUCAGCUGUAGAGGUUAACUUCAUGCACUUAUCAACAUGUAGUUUAGAGGCUUGCAUUAGAGUGCUUUGGUGCUUGGGUAUCUUUUAUUUAGCAUGGUUGUACCGUUGUGAAUGUAGCUAUAUAAAUAAAUACGCUCAAGAGUCUAUCGUGUGUUUGACAUGCAACUAAAAAUUCGAAAAUAUAUUUUAAAUCAGUAACUUUGCAAAUUUAGAGGAUUUGUUUUCGGACAACAUAUGUGUCACAUUUUAAACAGGGUUUGUAUAAUCAGCACUGACAUACAGACAUUUAUGUGCUGGGUAUAACAGACAUGCUUACCGUGUGAAAGGCCCACCGAUGUCUUGGAGCAGAGAAACACGCUGUAUUGUUGCUUUUCUCUGUUGUAUAAGCAGCGCCCGUAGGUCAGAAACGCUGUGUGCGGGUAGCACAGUCGGCUCCAACGCACAUCCAGGCAUCCGUCUGAAAGAAAGGUGUCGCUGCAGCUAGGCUCUCAGGAUAGUCAUGCUUUUAUUUAUAUUUGCAUUCUGGUGCGUUAAACUAGCAGCCUCUGUGUCCCGCUUGGAUCAUCAUUCCGAAAAUUCAGAUAUUUAAAUAAAAUGGCGAAUUGGCUAGUGAUGAGGAAAGAAUAUGUGUUUGUUUGUUUUUAGAAGUAUCACAGUUUAUUUCUAAAGGAAUACAUGUUAUUUGUGACACUGUUUGAAAACUAAUAGCCUCUGUGUGUUUCAGAGCCCUAAAGAAAAAAGCAAAAUACCCCUAAACUAGUUAAAUUAAAAGUAAAAUGCUCGUGCUGAUGAACGAAAGUGUUAUGCUCUCAAGGACCGAUGUAAAGGGUUAGUGUGGCUGCUUAGGGCAUUUUUAUAUAGGUGUGGGGCUUGGUUUCAGCUGGCCUCUGAGAUGCAGAGAUAAAGGUGUAAACAAAGGUGAUGCCUGUUUGGAGGAUGGUCAGUACAAAGUGUAAUGGCAUGAUAAAAGGUGAACGUGUAAUGGUGGCACCGAUGGACCUAGCACAGCCGGACCUCUGCCAUAAGAUAAAGGAGACUGUUUGUAUUGAAAACUAUGGCAGUACAAUUGAGAUGCUGUUGAUAAGGAUGGCCUCUUCUGCUGACUGUAGGGGGUCUAACUGUAACCCCCUCUGUCUAAAUGUUGCAGAAUUAAGAAUCCCUGUUUAUUUCUAAAGGAAUGCCUGCUGUUUGUGGUAUUCUGUUUGAAACUAUUAGCCUCUGUGUGUGAAUAUGUGUUUUUAGAAGGUGGAAAAAACUUUCUGUUUAAAAACUAUUAGCCUCUGUGUGUUUCAGAGCCCUAAAGAAAAAAGCAAAAUGCUCCUAAAACAGUUACAUUAAAUGCUGUGUGUGAAUAUGUGUUUUUAGAAGGUGGAAAAAACUUUCUGUUUAAAAACUGUUAGCCUCUGUGUGUGUUUCAGAGCCCUAAAGAAAAAUACCCCUAAACUAGUUAAAUUAAAUCAUCUAUGUCUAAAUAACAGAACUCUGAGACCUAUACAAUCCUUUAAAAAAGAGUUUAAGUAAAACACAUAAUGGUUUCAUUAAAUAAAACGCUAUUAAACACAUGUAAACAUAUGAUCUCUGAACUGCAAAGUCCGUUCACGCGCACAUGCACACGCAAGGUCCGUUCGCGCACACAUGGACGCGGAGGGGGAUGCGGGUGGGGGUGUGGGGGGUGAGGGGUGGGGGGGGGGCAAAAAAAGCUAUAGGUAUAUUACUACUCUCAGAGGUACACAGUCGAAUACCUUCUCCAAGUCUACAAAACACUGGUUGGGCAAAGUCCCAUGCACCCUCAAGAAUCUUCGUCUCAGGUCUCAUGCAUCCUUUUAUUGCGGUAAGUUCGAUCACUUGAUAUCUUCAUGUCCUAAGAAAGUAAAAGGUUCUGCCCACUGGUAGAUUUGGGGUUACGAGUGGGCGGAACACACAUUAGCUCAAAACCCCAUUUUCAGCUCCCAGUUUCACCGUUUCACUGGAGCAGAACAGAAUUUAAUCGACUCUGAGUUACACAGUUAAACAUUCCCCUCAGGGAGUUAGAUCUGCCCGUGUUUGCGCACAUAACUCAUCAGACAGAGCUCGUCAGAUUUGUCACCUCAAGUAAUCAUAGGGAAACACUCACCUUUUUUAUGUUCCGCUCGCCGGACACCUCACUGAUUCUGGGCUUCCCCUAGCUAGAGGUACACAAUCCCCACUUAGACUGGGCAGGCCAGAGAGUAGCCAACUUGAACUACAGGAAGUAUUAAGCAAAAGCAAAGCCUUCACCUUGCCAAUCCACAGACAGACCUUGCGAUUGCGACAUCAAGCUACUCCCAGGCGCUACUCUGCCAUCAAGCCAGCUCUAUAACCUGUCCCAUCCAGAGCGCGCUGCUAUGGAGAAAUACAUUAAAGAAUCACUCGCAGCAGCCAUCAUUCGCCCUUGCUUCUCUCCAGUGGAGGGUAGGGUUUUUCUUCGUAGGCAAAAAGUACAGUUCAACACUCCUUCUCUCCUCUCGUUGCUGUGUCCGGAACUCUGGAACUCCGUAAUGUCACGUGUCUGUUUACUGCUUCUAGUGCUAAUUGUCUUUCAUAGAGUUUUCCCCUCUUCCUUGUAUAUAGCUUUGCUCAUUUUCAUAGUCGCACUAGUUUGCCCACACACUUGUAUAUAUCUCACAGCACUAGUAUUUUGCCACAUCCGUGUAAGUAGCCCUCAUUUCAUUAGUUUGCGUCUGUGGCGGGGUGUGGUCCGUGGCACAGCUGUGGGGGAUCUGACCACAGAGCUCAUGAUAUAAUUACAAAAAUAAUCAUCGACCUGCGGCCUUGGGUGUCCUGGUGCCACAUAUACUUAUGGACACCCUUAUGUUUGAACAUGGUGUUUGUUAUGGACAAACUCUGGUUUGCACAGUCAAGUAACAGAACACCGCUCAGGUUAAAGACCGACAGGUCGUUCCUCCCAGUCAGGCCCCUCCAGGUCUCACUGUCAUUGCCCACAAGUGCAUUGAAGUUUCCCAGGAGAAUGACAGAGUCCCCAGGUCAAGUGCCCUCAAGCUCCUCACCC